rnacentral:rRNA from 1 species
AUGUCUGAUGUAGUGAAGUUGAGAUUUUACUAUGGUCCUGGUACUGUCCAAACAAAUGAGUUGGGAGCAGAUCUGAGUGAAUUUACUCACAUAGAGGUGGCAAUCAGCACACCACAAACAUGGUCUGUUAGUCAGUUGAAAGAAUGGAUUGCGGCAAGUUUAGGUCUUGAUACUGAAACACACACCGUCGGUGUUCAUGCAUUGUGGACACGGUCAAGUUCAAAAAUUUACUUUUAUUUGAGGCCAAUAGAGGGAGACUCCGAUUGGGUGCGGUGGUUACAAGGUUGUGAACGAAGGGGAUGCAAUCCUGUUGCUUUAGUGCUUCCCGUCGUGAAGGAGGUCACUGCACAUGAAGGGGAGGGUGGCUACGAAGGACAGAGCAGUCAUGUAGAAGGAGGAAAUGCUUAUGGUUACGAAUAA